GAUUAACGCUGGCGGCGUGCAUAACACAUGCCAGUCGAACGAUGAAACUCAUUAGAUUUCUUCGGAAUGAAAAUGAAUGGAUUAGUGGCGAACGGGUGAGUAACGCGUGAGUAACCUGCCUUACACAAGGGGAUAGCCUCUGGAAACGGAGAAUAAUACCCUAUGAAACCAGACAAUCGCAUGAUAAUCUGGUCAAAAUGUUUAGUGGUGUAAGAUGGACUUGCGUCUGAUUAGCUAGUUGGUGAGAUAAAAGCUCACCAAGGCAACGAUCAGUAGCCGGCUUGAGAGAGUGUACGGCCACAUUGGGACUGAGACACGGCCCAGACUCCUACGGGAGGCAGCAGUGGGGAAUUUUGCACAAUGGGGGAAACCCUGAUGCAGCGACGCCGCGUGAUUUAGAAGGCCUUCGGGUUGUAAAAAUCUUUUGUAUAGGAAGAAAAUGACAGUACUAUACGAAUAAGGUCCGGCUAAUUACGU
rnacentral:rRNA from 1 species